rnacentral:rRNA from 1 species
UACGGGGGGGGCAAGCGUUGUUCGGAAUUACUGGGCGUAAAGGGCUCGUAGGCGGCCAACUAAGUCAGACGUGAAAUCCCUCGGCUUAACCGAGGAACUGCGUCCGAUACUGAGAGGCUUGAAUCCGGGAGAGGGAUGUGGAAUUCCAGGUGUAGCGGUGAAAUGCGUAGAUAUCUGGAGGAACACCGGUGGCGAAGGCGGCGACCUGGGUAGAUACUGACGCUGAGGUGCGAAAGCGUGGGGAGCAAACAGG